AACGCUAGCUACAGGCUUAACACAUGCGAGUCGAGGGGCAGCGCAGUGUAGCAAUACAUGGGCGGCGACCGGCGCACGGGUGCGUAACGCGUAUCCAACCUUCCCGUUACUCAGGGAUAGCCUUCCGAAAGGGAGAUUAAUACCUGAUGGUGUUCAAAUUCCGCAUGUCAUUUGAACUAAAGAUUUAUCGGUAACGGAUGGGGAUGCGUGACAUUAGAUAGUAGGCGGGGUAACGGCCCACCUAGUCUACGAUGUCUAGGGGUUCUGAGAGGAAGGUCCCCCACACUGGAACUGAGACACGGUCCAGACUCCUACGGGAGGCAGCAGUGAGGAAUAUUGGUCAAUGGUCGGAAGACUGAACCAGCCAAGUAGCGUGAAGGAUGAAGGUUCUAUGGAUUGUAAACUUCUUUUAUACGGGAAUAAAACCUCCCACGUGUGGGAGCUUGUAUGUACCGUAUGAAUAAGCAUCGGCUAACUCCGUGCCAGCAGCCGCGGUAAUACGGAGGAUGCGAGCGUUAUCCGGAUUUAUUGGGUUUAAAGGGAGCGUAGACGGGAGAUUAAGUCAGUUGUGAAAGGCUGCGGCUCAACCGCAGCACUGCAGUUGAUACUGGUUUCCUUGAGUGCGGUUGAGGUGUAUGGAAUUCGUGGUGUAGCGGUGAAAUGCUUAGAUAUCACGAAGAACUCCGAUUG
rnacentral:rRNA from 1 species